rnacentral:rRNA from 1 species
UACGGCUCAGUAACACGUCAAUAAUCUGCCCUUACGUCUGGGAUAACCUCGAGAAAUUGGGGAUAAGCCCGGAUAGGAAAAAGAUACUGGAAUGUUCUUUUUCCCAAAGGUAACGCGUAAGGAUGAAUUGGCGCCCGAUUAGGCUGUUGGCGGGGUAGUGGCCCACCAAACCUAUGAUCGGUACGGGUCCUGAGAGGGAUAGCCCGGAGAAGGACACUGAGAAACGGGUCCUAGCCCUACGGGGUGCAGCAGUCGCGAAACCUUUACAAUGCACGAAAGUGUGAUAGGGGAAUUCAGAGUGCUUACACACAGUGUAGGCUUUUGCCAAGAGUAAAUAUCUUGGAGAAUAAGUGGUGGGUAAGACUGGUGCCAGCCGCCGCGGUAACACCAGCGCCACAAGUGGGAAUCGAUUUUAUUGGGCUUAAAGCGUUCGUAGCUGGUCUUGUAAAUCUUUUGUGAAAUCGUUGCCCUCAAUGCAACGACGUGCGGAGGACACUGCAAGACUUGGAACCGGGAGGGGUCAGAAGUAUGCCAGGGGGAGCGGUAAAAUGUUAUAAUCCCUGGUAGACUACCUUUGGCGAAGGCGUCUGACUAGAACGGGUUCGACAGUGAGGAACGAAAGCUGGGGGAGCGAUCCGGAUUAGAUACCCGAGUAGUCCCAGCCGUAAACGCUGUGAACUAGAUGUCGCGUAUUCUUCGUGAAUAUGCGGUGUCGAAGCGAAAGUGUUAAGUUCACCGCCUGGGAAGUAUAGUCGCAAGACCGAAACUUAAAGGAAUUGGCGGGGGAG